CUUCCAUCAAUCUACAAAACAACACUAAAAUCACUUGUUAGCACUUCUAAAAUACUCUCCAAGAUAACAAAAUCAUGAAAUUAAUGGCAUAAUAUAAUGAGUGUAAAUCACUCAUCACAAUUCCUCAAUGAUAAAUUGUUUCUGUGAAUUGUGAGGAAUGCUUCUAAAUGGGGUAAAAUUGUGUAUAUUCAAGCUUUUUUGAUGUGGAAUUGCUAAUUGGUUAAUCAAGAAAGUAAUAAUGCUUGCUUUUAGUACGAUAUUUCAAUGUUGAAUUUACCUCUGUUACCAUUUGCUCGUUGUAUAUUCAAGCUUUUUUGAUGUGAAAUUGCUAACUGGAAAUACAUGUCUGUGUUUUCUCCGCCAUAGCUCCGUGCUCUGCUUAUUUUUUUAGUGUGCAGAACUGUUGUUCAAGCACAGAUUUGCAGCAGAGAGCAGAGAGCAGAGGGGCUUUUUUUCUUUUCUCAACAUGAAAUGUCUACUCCCUAAAUUUUCUGUCUCUAGUGGGUAACUUGUUUCAAACAAAUGGUUUGAAUCAGUAUGAUUCAUUUACUUUUUUAUAUUUCCAGUACUAAUGAUGAUUAACUUCGCUAACUACAAAGAUAAUUGUUUCCUUUUUGCUAACUAAUUUCGUAAAAUUUUCCGGUUCUUCUGUAACUUCCAUCUUCCAAAAAAUUUCCAGUUCUCGCACGCAUUCAUAUUUUCUUGGACUUACAGAUCCAGGUUAGAAUUUUCGGCCAAAUGAUCGAUCAGAAAAUUUUGAUCAGCAAAUUCCCAUGCUUUCUUCUGCUGCUUCUUUUGGUGCUUACACGUUUUCUUUUUCCUUCUUUUAAUCAUUGAUCUAGACCCAAUAGAGAUUUUCAGCUGGUGUUUGUCCAUUUACAACUAUUUUUUUCCCUGAUUUUAGUACAAGAUUUUCUUUUUUCUUCUUUUAAUCAUUUUAAUCAUGUGCUCGUUGUUUAGACUAAUGAAAAUUAUUACUCUUUUUCCCUUAUGAAGAAUUGGCCCUUAUUUCUUCGCUUUAGCUUAGGAUUGGUUGGCAUUUGUGUCGACAUGCUUGAGUUCAUGUGUCGAUAUUAUUUCUUUAGAUUAUUUUAUGAAAUGUAAUUCUUCAAGCUUGUUUUCUAUCUUGAAUGUACCUGCCUUCUUUCUACUAUUUCACCUUUGUCUUGUUACUAUCUGUUAGUUGGAGCUUAAUCCUGAACGUCUAUUUUUUGAAUAUUCAGUGUUGGAUAGUAGCUUUGCGUAUAAUGGACAAAGAGUGGCUGCAAUUAUCAAGGUUAUCAUCUGAAAUUUGAUAUUAUGAUCCCAUUUACCAAAUGAAAAUAAUUUCAAUGUAUAAUGAUCAUAAAGAUUUACUCGUAGAUUUUCAAGACCAUAUAGCGAUGGAGCACAGAAUUUUGUUGAACGAGCUCGUAAAAAAUGCAAUUCAGAAAUGAUAGUAUGUCCUUGUGUUAAGUGUAGGAAUCCAAUGCAUCAUCAUUAUGAUACAGUCUAUGAACAUUUGGUUAUUAAAGGUAUGGAUUCUACAUAUACUACUUGGGUAUUUCAUGGAGAGCAACUAGGUUCAUCAAAUCAGAAUGUUGUAGAAAUGCCUGAGUAGAGUAGGAUGUUUAAGGAUUUCUAUGCACAACAUGAUGUGGAUUCUAAAAACCGUCCUGAUGGAAGAGAUGAAGAGAUUGAAAGUGUAGUUAAUGAUGCUGAAACUCCUUUAUAUCCUGGUUGUAGGGCAUUUACAAAGAUGUCAGCUUUGGUUGCAAUGUUUAAGCAUAAAGCUUCACAUGAGUUAUCAGAUAAUGGUUUUGAUGAACUUAUAAAUCUUGUUUGAGACAUGUUGCUAGAUAAUAAUACACUUCCAAACUCAUUUUACUAGAUGAAAAAACUUGUCAAUACAUUUGAUCUUGGCUAUGAAAAGAUACAUGCUUGCCUAAAUGAUUGUUGUCUAUAUAGAAAGGAGUUUGAGCAUGCUGAAUUAUGUUCAAAAUGUGGUUGCUCGAGAUGGAAUAUUAAAAAAUGGACAAAAAAAAUUUAGAAAAAUAUCCCAGCCAAGGUCUUGCGUUAUUUUCCUAUAAUACCAAGACUGAAGAGGAUGUUUGGAAUAUAUGAGAUGUCAACACAACUUCGAUGGAACUCAAAUAAUAAAAGUUCAGACGGCAAGAUUAGGCAGCCAGUUGAUUCAUUGAGUUGGGAAAUGAUUAAUCGAAGGUGGCUAGAUUUUACAUCUGAUCCUCGAAAUAUUAGAUUAGGUCUUGCUACUGAUGGAUUUAAUCCUUUCAAAGAUCUUAGCUCUAAAUACAGUUGUUGGCCAGUAAUCUUAACUAUAUAUAACUUGCCUCCCUCAAUUCGCAUGUCAAAGGAAAGUUUGAUGUUGAGUUUAUUGAUCCCGAGACCAAAUCAGCCAGGUAAUGACAUAGAUGUUUAUUUGGCACCACUUGUAGAUGACUUAAUGUUGUUAUGGAAUGAUGGGGUUGAUAUGUAUGACGUUGUUACAAAGUCUACAUUUAACUUAAAAGCUCUUUUGAUGUGGACAAUACAUGAUUUUCCUGCAUUUGGAAAUAUAUCUGGGUGGCCCGUCAAAGGAAAAAUUGCAUGCCCCAUUUGUCGUGAGAGUACAUGUUCACUAUGGUUGAAGUAUGGUAGGAAGUUUGCGUACAUGGGACAUAGAAAAUUUCUCACGUUUGAUCAUCCAUUUCGCAUGAAAAAGAGUUGGUUUAAUGGACAUAUUGAACAUGGUAUUAGGCCACAAAUAAAAAAUGGUGAAGAAGAUUUUAUUGAAGUUGAUAAAAUUACAAACGACUGGGGAAAAAGUGGGAAACGGAAGAGGAAGAAGAAUACAACUCAAUCUGAUGUAACGUGGAAGAAGAGGUCAAUAUUUUUCAAUCUACAAUAUUGGAAGGUAAUUGUUGUGAUAUUUCCUUCAUUUUUAUUCAAUACUUAUAAUUGUGUGUAGUUUUUAUGACUCCAUUGGCGUUUGAUUUGCAGACUUUACUUGUACAUCAUAAUUUGGAUGUGAUGCAUGUGGAGAAGAAUAUUUGUGAAAGCAUCAUCAGUACACUUUUGGAUGUCAAAGGAAAAUCUAAAGAUGGCAUUAACUCUCGUAAGGACAUGGAAGAAAUGAAUAUUAGGCACGAUUUACAUCCUCAGAGUAGAGGAAAUAAGUUUUAUCUACCAGCUGCUCCUCACACCUUAUCAAAAGCAGAAAAGAAAAUAUUUUGCAAAAGGCUUGCUAACUUGAGAUUACCCGAUGGCUAUGGAUCUAAUAUUGGAAAUUGCAUAUUGGUGGAAGAAUGUAAGAUAGCUGGGUUGAAGUCUCAUGAUUGUCAUAUGUUAAUGCAACAAUUAUUAUCAGCUGCAUUGAGAGGGCUUCUACCUAAAGGAUCAAGGAAUUCCAUUUUUAAAUUGAGUUCAUUUUUUAAGGAAAUAUGUCAAGGAAUUGUAGAUAGAAAUAAGGUUGAAUAAUUAGGGUUGACAUUUCUGAAAGUUUAUGCAUGUUGGAAAGGUACUUCCUGUCUUCAUUUUUUGAUAUAAUGGUUCAUUUAACAAUCCAUAUUGGGAGAGAAGUUCGUCUAUGUGGACCAGUAUAAUAUUGUUGGAUGUACCCAUUUGAGAGAUAUAUGAAAGUGUUGAAAGGGUAUGUUAUGAAUCGUAGACGGCGUGAAGGGUGCAUAGCUGAACGACAUAUUGUUGAAGAAAAUGCGAAGUUUUGCAGCAAAUACGUAACACAAGCAUCUAAAAUAAGAUCUAAGCCUGUACGCAAUGAAGAAUAUGAGACUAAUUUCCUAGUUGCAGGGCGUACAAUUUCUAAAGGGAAGGCAAUAUACUAUCCAAUGAGAUGUUGAAAGUUGCUCAUCGCUACGUGUUACUGAAUACUACAGAAGUUCAACCAUACAUAGAGUACGUUUAUUAAAUAUAGAGUUCAAUAAUUUUAAGUAGUUAACCAUAUUUUUUGAUAUAUUUUAUUUACCUUAGGAUGCAUAUGGAUGAAUUGAAGAGUUUUAACAAACGACUCGAAAGAAAUGAGACUUUAUUGAACAAGAAGCACAUUGAUGCUUUUUGCUGCCUGGUUAGGUGAUAUGGUUGGAAUACACAUCAACAAAUAAAUGUCUCAAAGUUGUGCUAUUUGUUCUUUUAUUUCUAACAUUUUUAACAUAAUAACAGAUUCAAAUUCAGCUAUUGACGAAUAAAGUUUCGAACAAUUUGAAGUGGCUUGCACGUGGUCCUAGAUAUUAAUCAAUGUCAUAUUCUAGUUUUGUUAUAAAUGGUUUUCGAUUUCACACUAAAGAUGUAGAAAAAUCUCGUCAAAAUAGUGGCGUUUUAGUUGAAGCAAUG
rnacentral:lncRNA from 1 species